CAGCCCCUCGAGUGGUGGGGAUGAUUAUUUGGCCUAAAGCGUCCGUAGCCGGCCGAGUAAGUCCCCCGUUAAAUCCAGCGUCUCAAGCGUUGGACUGCGGGAGAUACUACUUGGCUAGAGAGUGGGAGAGGUCAGCGGUAUUCUGGGGGUAGGGGCGAAAUCCUUUGAUCCCCGGAGGACCACCAGUGGCGAAGGCUGCACACUAGAACACGUCUGACGGUCAGGGACGAAAGCUGGGGUAGCGAACCGGAUUAGAUACCCGAGUAGUCC
rnacentral:rRNA from 1 species